CAGUCGAGCGGACAGAAGGGAGCUUGCUCCCGGAUGUUAGCGGCGGACGGGUGAGUAACACGUGGGUAACCUGCCUGUAAGACUGGGAUAACUCCGGGAAACCGGAGCUAAUACCGGAUAGUUCCUUGAACCGCAUGGUUCAAGGAUGAAAGACGGUUUCGGCUGUCACUUACAGAUGGACCCGCGGCGCAUUAGCUAGUUGGUGAGGUAACGGCUCACCAAGGCGACGAUGCGUAGCCGACCUGAGAGGGUGAUCGGCCACACUGGGACUGAGACACGGCCCAGACUCCUACGGGAGGCAGCAGUAGGGAAUCUUCCGCAAUGGACGAAAGUCUGACGGAGCAACGCCGCGUGAGUGAUGAAGGUUUUCGGAUCGUAAAGCUCUGUUGUUAGGGAAGAACAAGUGCAAGAGUAACUGCUUGCACCUUGACGGUACCUAACCAGAAAGCCACGGCUAACUACGUGCCAGCAGCCGCGGUAAUACGUAGGUGGCAAGCGUUGUCCGGAAUUAUUGGGCGUAAAGGGCUCGCAGGCGGUUUCUUAAGUCUGAUGUGAAAGCCCCCGGCUCAACCGGGGAGGGUCAUUGGAAACUGGGAAACUUGAGUGCAGAAGAGGAGAGUGGAAUUCCACGUGUAGCGGUGAAAUGCGUAGAGAUGUGGAGGAACACCAGUGGCGAAGGCGACUCUCUGGUCUGUAACUGACGCUGAGGAGCGAAAGCGUGGGGAGCGAACAGGAUUAGAUACCCUGGUAGUCCACGCCGUAAACGAUGAGUGCUAAGUGUUAGGGGGUUUCCGCCCCUUAGUGCUGCAGCUAACGCAUUAAGCACUCCGCCUGGGGAGUACGGUCGCAAGACUGAAACUCAAAGGAAUUGACGGGGGCCCGCACAAGCGGUGGAGCAUGUGGUUUAAUUCGAAGCAACGCGAAGAACCUUACCAGGUCUUGACAUCCUCUGACAACCCUAGAGAUAGGGCUUUCCCUUCGGGGACAGAGUGACAGGUGGUGCAUGGUUGUCGUCAGCUCGUGUCGUGAGAUGUUGGGUUAAGUCCCGCAACGAGCGCAACCCUUGAUCUUAGUUGCCAGCAUUCAGUUGGGCACUCUAAGGUGACUGCCGGUGACAAACCGGAGGAAGGUGGGGAUGACGUCAAAUCAUCAUGCCCCUUAUGACCUGGGCUACACACGUGCUACAAUGGACAGAACAAAGGGCUGCGAGACCGCAAGGUUUAGCCAUCCCACAAAUCUGUUCUCAGUUCGGAUCGCAGUCUGCAACUCGACUGCGUGAAGCUGGAAUCGCUAGUAAUCGCGGAUCAGCAUGCCGCGGUGAAUAC
rnacentral:rRNA from 1 species